UCAAGCGAACAAGGGCGCAGGGCGAAUGCCUUGGCACUGGGAGCCGAUGAAAGACGUGAUAAGCUGCGAUAAGCUUCGGGGAGCUGCAAAUAAGCAUUGAUCCGGAGAUUUCUGAAUGAGGAAACUCACCUGGGUUCAUACUCAGGUACGUUACACUGAACUUCAAAAUAGGUAUAUCGGGGGAACCGCCUGAACUGAAACAUCUAAGUAGGGCGAGGAAGAGACAUCAAACGAGAUUCCGUAAGUAGUGGCGAGCGAACGCGGAAGAGGGCAAACCGGGAGUAGAAAUACUUCCGGGGUACGGACUGCUUUUAGGACUUAAUCUGUUAACCGAACGGCAUGGGAAGGCCGGUCAGAGAGUGUGAGAACCACGUAGGUGAAAACGGAGAGAGCUGCGCAGGAUCCAGAGUACGGCCAGACACGUGAAACCUGGUCGGAAGAUGGGGGGACCACCCUCCAACCCUAAAUACUACCCAGUGACCGAUAGCGUAUAGUACUGUGAAGGAAAGGUGAAAAGCACCCCGGGAGGGGAGUGAAAAAGAACCUGAAACCCUGUGCCUACAAGCACCUAGAGCACGUCAAUGUGUGAUAGGGUACUUUUUGUAGAACGGUCCGGCGAGCGAUUGUAUGCAGCAAGGUUAAGGACUUAAGGUCUGGAGCCGAAGCGAAAGCGAGUUUGAAAAGGGCGUUAAGUUGCAUACAAUGGGCCCGAAACCGGGUGACCUACCCAUGGUCAGGUUGAAGUGGAAGUAAAAUUCCAUGGAGGACCGAACCGACCUCCGUUGAAAAGGCGGCGGAUGAACUGUGGGUAGCGGAGAAAUUCCAAUCGAACCCGGAGAUAGCUGGUUCUCCCCGAAAUAGUUUUAGGACUAGCCUCAAGUUAGAUACCUGGAGGUAAAGCACUGAAUAGCCUAGCGGCCGAGAGGUUAGCGAAGCUUAUCAAACUCAGAAUGCCAGAGUAUUGAUGCUUGGGAGUCAGACAGUGUCAGAUAAAUGUCAUUGUCAAAAGGGAAACAGCCCAGAUCUACAGCUAAGGUCCCAAAGUCAGGUUAAGUGGAAAACGAUGUGAAGAUACGCAGACAACCAGGAUGUUGGCUCAGAAGCAGCCACUCAUUCAAAGAGUGCGUAAUAGCUCACUGGUCGAGCGUCUUUGCGCGGAGAAUUUAACGGGGCUAAACCUGACACCGAAGCUUAGGCAAUACAGCAAUGUAUUGGGUAGGGGAGCGUUGUAUACGCGGUGAAACAGUAGCGCAAGCGGCUGUGGAGUGUAUAGAAGUGAGAAUGCCGGAAUGAGUAGCGCGAAUGCAGUGAGAAUCUGCAUGGCCGAAAGCCUCAGGUUUCUGGAGGAAGGUUCGUCCGCUCCAGGUUAGUCGGGAGCUAAGGUGAGGCCUAACGGCGUAGCCGAUGCACAGACGGUAGAGAUUCCGUCACCACCAAAAGAGUUAAACACAGGGACACAUUUGAAGUCUCGGAGCCGGGUGUUGGUUCCGGUAGCGAUCGAGGGAAGUUAGUACCGAAGUCCGGGAUGGAAGAUGGCGAGAAAAGCUGUGUGUAUUUCUGCGGUGCCCGUACCGCAAACCGACACAGGUAGGUAGGAAGAAGAUUCUAAGGCCAACGGGAGAAGGGUUGUUAAGGAACUCGGCAAAUUGACCCCGUAACUUCGGGAGAAGGGGUGCUCCAGAGAUGGAGCCGCAGAGAAUCGGCCCAAGCAACUGUUUACCAAAAACACAGGUUUGUGCUAAAUCGAAAGAUGACGUAUACGAGCUGACGCCUGCCCGGUGCUGGAAGGUUAAGAGGAGAUGUGCAAGCAUUGAAUCGAAGCCCCAGUGAACGGCGGCCGUAACUAUAACGGUCCUAAGGUAGCGAAAUUCCUUGUCAGGUAAGUUCUGACCCGCAUGAAAGGCGUAAUGAUUUGGGCACUGUCUCAACAGCCCGCCCGGCGAAAUUGUAGUAC
rnacentral:rRNA from 1 species